rnacentral:rRNA from 1 species
AUUGAACGCUGGCGGCAGGCCUAACACAUGCAAGUCGAGCGGAUGAAGGGAGCUUGCUCCUGGAUUCAGCGGCGGACGGGUGAGUAAUGCCUAGGAAUCUGCCUGGUAGUGGGGGAUAACGUCCGGAAACGGGCGCUAAUACCGCAUACGUCCUUAGGGAGAAAGUGGGGGAUCUUCGGACCUCACGCUAUCAGAUGAGCCUAGGUCGGAUUAGCUAGUUGGUGGGGUAAAGGCCUACCAAGGCGACGAUCCGUAACUGGUCUGAGAGGAUGAUCAGUCACACUGGAACUGAGACACGGUCCAGACUCCUACGGGAGGCAGCAGUGGGGAAUAUUGGACAAUGGGCGAAAGCCUGAUCCAGCCAUGCCGCGUGUGUGAAGAAGGUCUUCGGAUUGUAAAGCACUUUAAGUUGGGAGGAAGAGCAGUAAGUUAAUACCUUGCUGUUUUGACGUUACCAAAAGAAUAAGCACCGGCUAACUUCGUG